rnacentral:rRNA from 1 species
CGUCUAUAUACGUAUAGCAUAUCAAUAAGCGGAGGAAAAGAAACUAACUAGGAUUCCCUUAGUAACGGCGAGUGAAGCGGGAAGAGCUCAAAUUUGAAAUCUUCAAGGUUUUACCUUGACGAAUUGUAGUUUAAAGAAGUGUUUUCUGUUGGAGUUUUGGUAAAAGUUCUUUGGAAUAGGACAUCAUAGAGGGUGAGAAUCCCGUAUUUGACCAUUAUUUCCAACUUUGUGAUACACUUUCAAAGAGUCGGAUUGUUUGGGAAUGCAGUCCAAAAUGGGUGGUAAAUUUCAUCUAAGGCUAAAUACUGGCGAGAGACCGAUAGCGAACAAGUACCGUGAGGGAAAGAUGAAAAGAACUUUGAAAAGAGAGUUAAACAGUACGUGAAAUUGUCAAAAGGGAAGCGUUUGACACCAGUGUUGUUUUCUCGAAAAUCAAUUAAAAAUGGUAGGAUUUUGUGUUGUAUUGACUUUAUCAGCUUUCUGCACUUUUUUCCUGAUCUUUUUUAAUGCACUUUUCGUUUAACAAGUCAACAUCAAUUUCUUUUGUUGUAAAAGGGUCAUUGGAAGGUGGCUUUCAUUUCGGAGAAAGUGUUUAUAGCCUUUGACUUCUGCAAUCGGAGAGAUUGAGGUCUGCAGCGUAGAUCCUUCGGGGUUAGAUGCAUUUGUGCUAAGUUAUAGCCUUUCAUAGACAACUUGUUGACUAUGAUCAGUCAUGUAGCUUACUCGCUUAUGUUAUUUUACCUACGCUUAGGAUGUUGACGAUCAGCUGAGCGCG